rnacentral:rRNA from 1 species
UACGUAGGGGGCAAGCGUUGUCCGGAAUCAUUGGGCGUAAAGAGCGCGUAGGCGGCCCGAUAAGUCCGCUGUGAAAGUCAAGGGCUUAACCCUUGAAUGCCGGUGGAAACUGUCGGGCUAGAGUCCGGAAGAGGCGAGUGGAAUUCCUGGUGUAGCGGUGAAAUGCGCAGAUAUCAGGAGGAACACCGGUGGCGAAGGCGGAUCUCUGGGCCUUACCUGACGCUGAGACGCGAAAGCGUGGGGAGCGAACAGG